CGUAGGGGACGAGCGUUGUCCGGAUUCAUUGGGCGUAAAGCGCGCGUAGGCGGUUCGGUAAGUCGGGUGUGAAAACACGAGGCUCAACCUCGUGCGUGCAUCCGAUACUGCCGGACUAGAGGUAGGUAGGGGAGAUCGGAAUUCCUGGUGUAGCGGUGAAAUGCGCAGAUAUCAGGAGGAACACCGGUGGCGAAGGCGGAUCUCUGGGCCUUACCUGACGCUCAGGCGCGAAAGCUAGGGGAGCGAACAGGAUUAGAUACCCUGGUAGUCCUAGCCGUAAACGUUGGGUGCUAGGUGUGGGCGGAUAUCGACCCCGUCCGUGCCGAAGCUAACGCAUUAAGCACCCCGCCUGGGGAGUACGGCCGCAAGGCUA
rnacentral:rRNA from 1 species